GCCCAUGGGCGACUCAGGGGAACCCAUCAAGCGCAUGCGGCCUUGUGAUGGACCACGAGUGUCGGGGAGUUUGGAGGAACUGUUUUACAUUGGUGCCGAGGCUGUGUCGAAAUUGGGUUUUGACGAUUUAGUUACUUUCGACGAGAGUUUCUUUGAUGCGGAGACCGUCAUAUUGGAGAGGGAACCCCCUCUGGUUGAAAUCGUCGAUACCGAGCGUUGCGUGAAAGUUCGUUUUGCGAAUGAAAUUCCCGAAGAGGUUUUGGAGGCGCAUCUUCGUCACCAUGCUUCUGGGAGAAAGGGAAUUUCCCCUGUUGUGCGCUAUUGGUGUAUGUGUGAGUUCAGCGAACUUUAUCCCGGAGCUCCUUGCUUCGAUUUUGAUUUAUUGUAGCUGCCUCAAUUUUGUUGGUUCGCUGUUUUGAUGUUCCUUAUUAUUAUUAAUUUUGUGUUCAAUAUGUGUAUAUAUAUAUAUAUAUAUAUAUAUAUAUAUAUAUAUAUAUAUAUAUAUAUUUUUUAGUCUGACAGUGUUAGGUUAUCUAUUUUACGUUUGUUAAUUAAUUUUUUUUAUUUUAUAUUUCCCCCUUUUAUUUAAAUAUAUAUAUAUAUAUAUAUAUUUUUAUAUUUGUAGUUGCCCAUAAAAUUUAUUAAAGAAAAGUGUUAACAAUGUGUUUUCAUGAUUUGUUUCUCGCGCCUGACUUCCAUUAAUCCCUAAUAUUCCUGUCGCCAUGACGCGUGUAAAUCCAACAUGGCCGCUCAUAAAUGUCAUCAGUAAAGUUUUUAGUGACGGGUCUUUAGUUUUGUUUGAUAUCGAAGUAAUUUUCGUCUGUCGCUCGUUUUUCCUUAUUCUACCGCAAUUAGAACAUUUAUUUAUUAAUAUUAUUUUAAAGCGACAAUAGUAUAACUCGUGUGAAUAUACGUAUAUAUAUAUGUUUAUGUUGUGUGUCACUUCAGUAUAGCUAAUGUUUUGUAAUUCUUUGAUUGCAUUAUUUAUUGUUUCGAGUAGUUUAUUUCAUAGAGUAUUCGAUAAUAUAAAACAUAUGCACUCACACAUACAUAUAUAUAUAUAUAUAUACGUAUUUAUAUGCAUAUCUCUCUUGCCCAUAUAGUGUUCAUACGAAAUGAAAUGUUAAUUAUUUAUUUUAUAUUAAUUUCUUUUAAUAAGAUAGAACACACACACACGCACGCGUAUAUAUGUAUAUAUUUCUGGCAAAGUGAUUUUCAUUUAGAUUCUUUAGUGAUAUAGUGUUGUGUAUUUGAGGUUAUGUGUCAAUCAUUUGAUUUCAUAUAUACAUAUAUAUCUUGUAGUGUGACAACAUAGUAUUGAAGGUUUUGUUUCUAGAUUAUUGUGCGUUUAGUGUGUGUUUACAUAUUUGUGUUUGAUGAUAGAAUUUCUGUAUGCAAUUACUCAGGUCGUUGCGAUGUUAAUUAUUUUGAGCGUUUGGGUUAUCGACAAGUUGUCGCUUAGUCCCAAGUGUUGCGUUGUGUGUUCUAUUUCUUUUGUAGAUUAUUAAUAGUAGUUUUAGUUUAGAAAAAUGAAUUAUUUAUAUGUUUAUAUAGAGACAUGCAUGUUUCAUAAUGUAAUUCUUAUAUUAUAAUGCUCUACCGGCAUCUAGGCUAGUUUUAAGUAUGUAUUUUAGAUUGUAAAAAUCACAUAGAUUAGUAGUAGUUUAGAAUAUAGAUUUUUAUAUGUUUGUGUAGAGACAUGCAUGUUUCGUAAUGUAAUUCUUAUAUUAUAAUGCUCUACCGGCAUGUAGGCUAGUUUUAAGUAUGUAUUUUAGAUUGUAAAAAUCACAUAGAUUAGUAGUAGUUUAGAAUAUAGAUUUUUAUAAGUUUGUGUAGAGACAUGCAUGUUUCGUAAUGUAAUUCUUAUUUUAUAACUCUUUACCGGAGCGUAGCCUGUAUCUUAGAUUGUCGAUUCGAGCGUACAUUAAUAGUAGUUUAGUUUAGAAUAUAAUAUAUAUAUAUAGACAUGCAUACAUGCAUGUUUCGUAAUGUAGUUCAUAUUUUAUAAUUCUUUACCGGAACGUAGGCUAGUUUCAAAUAUGUAUCUGUUUAAUAGAAUGCGCACACAUAUAUAUAUGUUUCUGAC